ACCUGGCUAGCUCAGUUGGUAGAGCAUGGGAUUCUUGACCUCAGGGUUGUAAGUUCAAGCCCCACCUUGGGUA
rfam:Felis catus isolate Cinnamon breed Abyssinian chromosome A1, whole genome shotgun sequence.